UACGUAGGGUGCGAGCGUUAAUCGGAAUUACUGGGCGUAAAGCGUGCGUAGGCGGUUCGCUGUGUCCGAUGUGAAAGCCCCGGGCUUAACCUGGGGAAUGGCAUGGAAACUGGCGGGCUUGAGUGCGGCAGAGGGGGGUGGAAUUCCGCGGUGUAGCAGUGAAAUGCGUAGAGAUGCGGAGGAACACCGAUGGCGAAGGCAGCCCCCUGGGUCGACACUGACGCUCAGGCACGAAAGCUGGGGAGCAAACAGG
rnacentral:rRNA from 1 species